AUUGAACGCUGGCGGCAUGCCUUACACAUGCAAGUCGAACGGCAGCAUGGAAGAGCUUGCUCUUCUGAUGGCGAGUGGCGAACGGGUGAGUAAAGCAUCGGAACGUACCGUGUAGUGGGGGAUAACGUAGCGAAAGUUACGCUAAUACCGCAUACGCACUGAGGUGGAAAGCAGGGGAUCGCAAGACCUUGCGCUAUACGAGCGGCCGAUGUCAGAUUAGGUAGUUGGUGGGGUAAAGGCUCACCAAGCCAACGAUCUGUAGCUGGUCUGAGAGGACGACCAGCCACACUGGAACUGAGACACGGUCCAGACUCCUACGGGAGGCAGCAGUGGGGAAUUUUGGACAAUGGACGCAAGUCUGAUCCAGCCAUUCCGCGUGCAGGAUGAAGGCCCUCGGGUUGUAAACUGCUUUUGUACGGAACGAAAAGGUUUCCAUUAAUACUGGGAGCUCAUGACGGUACCGUAAGAAUAAGCACCGGCUAACUACGUG
rnacentral:rRNA from 1 species